rfam:Chroococcidiopsis thermalis PCC 7203 plasmid pCHRO.01, complete sequence.
GUCAGCAACCCCUGACUUGAAGUCGGGGGCUUCAGGCGACUCCGCCUCAGCCCUAGUUGACCAGACUAUCCGUUUAGGGCAAGAGUUAAAAGACCCACUUCAGGAUGCUUGCUAGUCCUGAACCUUGGAAUCAAGCGAUUAAACAGGCUUAAGGGGUUAAACCAGUGUCGCUUGAAGAGUUACCGACCCUAAACAAAGUCGAAGCAAACCUUAC